GAUGAAUGCUGGCGGCGUGCCUAACACAUGCAAGUCGAGCGGCAGCGGGUUUUACACUGAUUUCUGGAAGCUUCUGAGUAGUACAGAAGAUUUAUUCAAGAGUUUUUUGUAAAAUGUCGGCGAGCGGCGGACGGCUGAGUAACGCGUAGGAAUUUGCCCCAAAGUGAGGAAUAACUGCCCGAAAGGGUAGCUAAUGCCGCAUAUGGUCUUCGGAUUAAAGCCUUCGGGCGCUAUGGGAGAAGCCUGCGUUGGAUUAGGUAGUUGGUAGGGUAAUGGCCUAUGAGGGCGUCGUUCCAUAGCUGGUCUGAGAGGAUGAGCAGCCAGACUGGAACUGGGACACAGUCCAGACUCCUACGCGAUGCAGCAGUGAGUAAUCUUCCACAAUGGGCUAAGGCCUGAUGGAGCAACGCCGCUAGAAGGAUGAAGGUCUUCGGGUUGUAAACUUCUUUUAUGAGUUAAUAAUAUGACGGUAACUAAUGAAUAAGCACCGGCUAACUACGUG
rnacentral:rRNA from 1 species